rfam:Lactobacillus mixtipabuli DNA, scaffold: sequence02, strain: IWT30.
GGCGGUAUAGCCAAGUGGUAAGGCAAAGGUCUGCAAAACCUCUAUCGUCGGUUCGAAUCCGAUUACCGCCU